UUGGAGAGUGAUGUGGGAGGCAAACGAGAGCAAUAAAGAAUAGAAUCUAGUGCAACACAACUCACAGUAAGCUGCAUGAGAUCUACUUCAAUCUGUGGUGGGUUUAUGAUUGGACGACUGGCUUGAGGGCUACCUGGGCGGUCUGGUGAUGGCGGCAUGCUUGUCUAGUGACUGGACGGUGAUGGAUAGGUGCAGGGAAGGGUGGUGCUAAUGGCUUGGUGAAGGGACUGUUGGUGCUAGGUUUCUCUCGAUGAUUUUGUUUCUUUGAGUUUCUAUUUUUUGUUUUUUUUAAAUAGUAGUAAACUAACGGCAGAAAUUUAGCGAAGGUAGAAGGAACUAAUGAGAUGGCACAAUGGAAGGGUGGGAUUUUAGAAGGC
rnacentral:misc_RNA from 1 species